rnacentral:rRNA from 1 species
GACGAACGCUGGCGGCGUGCUUUACACAUGCAAGUCGAGCGGAAAGGCCUCUUCGGGGGUACUCGAGCGGCGAACGGGUGAGUAACACGUGGGUGACCUGCCCUUAGCUUCGGGAUAAGCCUGGGAAACUGGGUCUAAUACCGGAUAUGACGCAUGAUCGCAUGGUUGUGUGUGGAAAGAUUUAUCGGCUGAGGAUGGGCCCGCGGCCUAUCAGCUUGUUGGUGGGGUAGUGGCCUACCAAGGCGACGACGGGUAGCCGGCCUGAGAGGGCGACCGGCCACACUGGGACUGAGACACGGCCCAG